rnacentral:rRNA from 1 species
CCAGCCGCGGUAAUUCCAGCUCCAAUAGCGUAUAUUAAAGUUGUUGCAGUUAAAAAGCUCGUAGUUGAAUUUCGGGAUUGACGUGAUGGUCAUGCCUUAAGGGGUAUGAACUGUUACUGUUGAUUUCUCACCUUCUGGAGAAACUUGAUGUCCUUUAUUGGGUGUCUUGCGGAUCCAGGACCUUUACCUUGAAAAAAUUAGAGUGUUUAAAGCAGGCAUUUUUGCUCGAAUACAUUAGCAUGGAAUAAUAGAAUAGGACGGCAUGGUUCUAUUUUGUUGGUUUCUAGGAUCACCGUAAUGAUUAAUAGGGAUAGUUGGGGGCAUUAGUAUUCAAUUGUCAGAGGUGAAAUUCUUGGAUUUAUUGAAGACUAACUACUGCGAAAGCAUUUGCCAAGGAUGUUUUCAUUAAUCAAGAACGAAAGUUAGGGGAUCGAAGACGAUCAGAUACCGUCGUAGUCUUAACCAUAAACUAUGCCGACUAGGAAUCAGACGAUGUUAAUUUUUUAAUGACUCGUUUGGCACCUUACG